ACAUGCCUACAAAAUAGAGUUAAUGCACCGGAUACCAUUAGAACUUUGUCGUUAAGCACGCUCAGGCUAGAGUAGUAUUGGGAUGGGUGACCGCCCAAGAAUUCCUAGUGUUUUACAUGCC
rfam:Picea glauca, whole genome shotgun sequence.